CCUGAUGCACCAGAAUCAUUCUCACUUGAGUCAGACGAGGAAGAGGAAGAGGAAGAGGAAGAGGAUGAAACUUCUGGUCCUGAACCAUCAAUGUCACAGGACCCACAUUUUCUCCCAUCCUCCUCCUCUGAACCACACCUCAUAACACAAGGUGAACUGAAUGACCUUGUCAGGGAUUUGGAGCUACCCAAGAGUAAGGCAGAGCUGUUGGGCUCCAGACUACAGCAGUGGAAUCUUCUGGCAGGUGAUGUUAGGGUUUCUGUGUUCCGUGACCGUCAAAAGGAUCUUGUCCCAUUCUUCUUCAUGGAAGGUGAUCUUGUAGCCUGCAACAACAUCGAUGGUGUGAUGGCAGCCCUCAACAUUGUUCAAGAUCCAGAUGAGUGGAGACUGUUCAUUGAUUCAUCCAAGAUGAGUCUUAAAGCUGUUUUACUGCAUAAUGGCAAUGUUUUGCCAUCAAUUCCAGUUGGUCAUGCAAUCCAUAUGAAGGAAACCUAUGACAACAUGAAACAACUUUUGAGGUGCAUAAACUAUGACCAACAUCAGUGGCAGCUUUGUGAUGAUUUGAAGGUUGUUGCUCUCUUGCUUGGUCUGCAGACUGGAUACACAAAGUACUGCUGUUUUCUCUGCGAAUGGGAUAGUCGUGCAAGAGAUUCCCACUACAUCAAGAAAGAUUGGCCACUCCAACAGUCAUUGGAGCCUGGGAGGAAAAGUGUUCAGCAUCCACCACUUGUUGAAUCAAGGAAGAUUUUGUUACCACCCUUACACAUCAAGCUGUGUCUGAUGAAGAACUUUAUCAAGGCCAUUGACAAAACACAAGCAGCUUUCAGGUACCUCCGUGGAAAAUUUCCAAGGUUAAGUGAAGCUAAGAUAAAGGAAGGUGUCUUUGUUGGUCCUCAGAUUCGUGAACUUCUUCAACAUGAUGCAUUUAACCAUGCUCUGCAUGGCAAGGAAAAGACGGCAUGGAAAGCCUUCCAGUUAAUGGCAAUAAAUUUUCUCGGAAAC
rnacentral:lncRNA from 1 species